UGACCUCAAAUCGGGUGAGACUACCCGCUGAACU
rnacentral:rRNA from 1 species